rnacentral:rRNA from 1 species
CUACGGGAGGCAGCAGUGAGGAAUUUUGCGCAAUAGGGGAAACCCUGACGCAGCAACGCCGCGUGAGUGAAGAAGGCCCUCGGGUCGUAAAGCUCUGUCAAGUGGGAAAAAAGCUUACUGGUAAAUAGCCAGCAAGACUGAUGGUACCAUUGAAGGAAGCACCGGCUAACUCCGUGCCAGCAGCCGCGGUAAUACGGAGGGUGCAAGCGUUGUUCGGAAUUACUGGGCGUAAAGGGCGUGUAGGCGGUGUGGUAAGUCAGAUGUGAAAGCCCUGGGCUUAACCCAGGAAGUGCAUUUGAAACUGCCAUGCUUGAGUAUGGGAGAGGAGAGUGGAAUUCCCAGUGUAGAGGUGAAAUUCGUAGAUAUUGGGAGGAACACCCGUGGCGAAGGCGACUCUCUGGACCAAUACUGACGCUGAGGCGCGAAAGCGUGGGGAGCAAACAGGAUUAGAUACCCUGGUAGUCCACGCUGUAAACGAUGAGCACUAGGUGUAGCGGGUAUUGACCCCUGCUGUGCCGUAGCUAACGCAUUAAGUGCUCCGCCUGGGGAGUACGGCCGCAAGGCUAAAACUCAAAGGAAUUGACGG